CUAAUAGAAACAUUUUCGUUGUCUUUCACAGCAGAGCCAGAUUAAGGUCUAACUGGGCUUUGUUCCUUCUAAUUUUGUCCCUGGAUAAUGUCACGACAUCCUUGUAGUCCUCCUGAGCUGCCUGGCUCUUCUUCCAAGUGUCAUAAACACUUUUUUCCCCUGAAUGCCAGACAAGGCUCUCUGGUCAGGCAGGUCAGUCUGUCCCACCAACUCAUCUUUUUGGGAUAUAGCGAUGGCUACUCCUGCACCUUUAAGAUUUUCUUCUUGAAGAAUGUCCAGCCUUCUUGGACCUUCAGGACUGCCUCCCAGAUACUCUGUUGACCAGACUCCUAAACAAGCCAAAGUCUGCCCUCCAGAAGUCCAAGGUGGCAGUUCUGCUCACUCCUGACCUCACUUUGACAACUGAAAAUUCUAUAAUUUCAUUAAUGGUAUGCCCAAGACAUCCUCUAACCAUCCAAGAUCACUUAGGACUAACUGACAUGUGCUUGAUUUUAUAGACAGCGCUCAGUGUGCUGUUACGCUUCUUUGUUCUUUGCUGUGGUCAUCAACAACACCUGUUUGGCCAAGUGCCUAGGACCUGCAAGGCUGGUAAGGAAGGGUGUAAUUGGACUGGCACUCAGGAAUCUUGAGACCCGUAUGGAGUAGAAGAAGAAAUAUUUUUUAUUUUUCUAGUUGGCUCACAGGAAAUGAAUGCAUCACCCACUCAGCCAUAGAGAAUGGCUGUUUGCUUUAUAAAAUAAUAUAAGUUAUGCUAACCACAUUACCAGGGGUGGGGAGCAGGACAAUACCGGUCACAUAUGGUAUCUCCUUGGGCCCUAGGAUUGAUGAAACCUAUUUUCUUCAGUAAGAAGGCACAAAUUAUAGCAAAUUACCAUCCCAAACUCUUUGCCAAGAGGAAUCUUAUGCUUAAGAAUGAAAACUUGACUAAUUUAUUCAGGAAGAUAAGUGUAAAUGAGAAGCAAAUACUUUUGAUUAUUAAGAGACGGAGUGCUUCCAAAACGACAGGAAGUUGAAGCUGAAUAUGCCUCAGUACCCCGUAGGAAAUGUACUACACAAAUACAAAGGCAGCUCCUCUGAGAACAUGUUCGAUGAGACAUGCAAUGACGCACAGGAUUGGUGAAGCCAGGAGGACACAGGUUAAAACAGAAGAACAUGAUGCUUCAAGCAAUGGGUUAUCAAGCUGUCUUCAGUCUAGGAAACUGUAACUGUUAAAAGUUUAACAAGUUUGGCAGAGACUGACAGCUAGGGAAGAAAAAUCACAGAAUCUCUGAGGCUGGAAGGAAUCCCUGGAUAUUAUCUAGUUUAACAUCCUUGCUCAGUCAUGGUCAGCUAUCAUAAGUUGCUCCAUGUCUCCACAAAUGAAGCCUCCACAACCUCUUUGGGCAAUCUCUUCCUGUUUGAUUACCCUCACAGUAUUUUCUUUUUCUUACACUUAAAUGGAAUUAAAUAUCUGAUCAUUGUGUGUUGUCCCGUCACUGAACAACCCCGAGGAGAGUUUGGAUCCAUCUUUUUUACCUCCUCCCAGCACAUAUUUGCACACAUUGAUAAGAAUAUAUAUGAAUGACAUCUUGUGAGACACUGAAAUGGUUUAGGGCUUAAACAUUGUUAAAAUCCCUGAAGGACUUUUGUCCACUGUAGCAGACUGUGCAAAGAAGCAACUGCUCACCAAGGCCUAGCCCCCCCUGAACAUCCCUACUAAUUUGGACUGUGAUAGGAACUUGAGAUAAGAUAAAGGUACUAUGCCCAAUUAUCCUAGGAGAAGAAUGCAUCCACAAGUGUGAAAGACUGGAAUGCUGAUGUCUCAAACAAUCAAGGUGCAAACUGACAAUGUGCAGAGUAACUGCCCAGGUGCUGAGGGUGUGCACACCAGACACCUCAGGCUACCAGUUGGGUAUUGAUCAAGAUAAGGAAAGAAGCAAAUCCUUCAAGGUGGGAUAGUGUUUCUUUGUCCUUACAGGAGUGAUUCAGCUGUGAUAACUCCCCUCUGGGGAAGCAUUGGGACAAUUCACAUAUAGCCUGAAGACGUUAAUCUCUGCUGAUAGGCCAUAAGGAACUCAAGGCUGAUGUAACAGCCAGCUGUAACAUCUUAGAAAGUGUCAGAGACUCAUGACAUGUCCUGUGAUCCAGUAUUACAUCAUCCCUUGUAAAACUCCCUACUCCAGGGGUGGCACCAGAGGCAUUUCUACCUAGCCUGAGCCCAAUAAAAGACACGACAGACUGCUCAACAUACUUAGAUUUCCCCUACCAUGGGCUUCUUCUUUCACGCACACAGACUUCUUCCAUUACCACAGAGGACUUCCUUCACCAACAUGGACUUCUUCCCUCACUACACUGGGCUUCCCUCAGCAGAUUCAGACUGCAACUAUCACUUUGACAAGAAUGGGAUUCUCACCACCAAGAAGACCAGAAGAAUAGAAUCAAUGGGACGCCGUCAGAAUCCAAGGAUGUUGAUAUAAUUUCUUCCUAAUCUGUCUCUCUGUCACUCUCUUUCUGUCCCCCCCUCU